rnacentral:lncRNA from 1 species
AUUCACUGACAACAUCGACUUUGAAGUUGCACUGACCUGGCCAGCCCUGCCACUUACCAGGUUGGGCUGUGGCUUGCCUUUUCACUUCUUGUGUCCUGUUUAAGAAAUAUCUGCUAUCCCAAGCAUCUGGCAUCUUUCUUGACAUAUGUAGCAGUUGCUUUUUGACAGCUUGCUUCUUCAGUGAAUGAAUAAAUUAAUAAAGAGAAAUGUGAUGUUCAGUGAUCCAUUUUGCAGAUUGCAAACUCCUAGAGAAGGGCUCAACAGUGAGUGCUGAGGCUGCACAGAGGAGGAAGGCAGCACAAUGAUGGAAGGCUUCCUAAAGAGAUAACACUAACAAAGUUGACCUUAGAAUUGGAGUGCCUGGGUUAGAACCCUGCUGGUACCACCUGCUUACUGCAUGCUUCUGAUGUGAGUUCAGGAGAAGACACUGGCAAGGACAGCAAAGAACAGGAGAACACUCUAGCUUCCCUGAUAGCAUUCAAGGUGCUGUCCAAAUUCUUGAAUCCAGUUCAUGAAUCAAGGGAGAUCCUUGGAUGUCUGAUGGCUGCUAUUCUGUUUCUCAAACAAUUUGAAUUCAGCAAGCCGUCACUGAAGAUAUGGAGUCACACAGUCAAGUUUAAAUCCAUGCUAUGCUAUUUAAAACUUGCAUGAUCUUGUGCUAAUUAAUCAAUUUUUGCUUCAGUUUCCGAAACGGUAAGGGGCACGGGGAUAAUACAGUCUGCUUACCGUAUGGGUGAAGAUGUGGGGGAAGAUUAAAUACAUUGUUCUUACAUGAAAUGUAAACAGAAAGCUCCUCCACAGUAAGCUGUCAGCUAAAGCUAGUUUACUUUCCACUGCUCUUCAAUAACGGAAAGAGUAAUUUUUCAUUACU